rnacentral:rRNA from 1 species
GUCUACGGCCAUGCUACCCUGAACAAGCCAGAUCCCAUGUGAUCGCGGAAGCUAAGCAGGGUUGGGCCUGGUUAGUACUUGGAUGGGAGACCACCUAGGAAGACCAGAUGCUGUAGGCA